rnacentral:rRNA from 1 species
UAGGGAAUCUUCCACAAUGGACGAAAGUCUGAUGGAGCAACGCCGCGUGAACGAUGAAGGCCUUCGGGUCGUAAAGUUCUGUUGUAAGGGAAGAACAAGUGCCGCAGGCAAUGGCGGCACCUUGACGGUACCUUGCGAGAAAGCCACGGCUAACUACGUGCCAGCAGCCGCGGUAAUACGUAGGUGGCAAGCGUUGUCCGGAAUUAUUGGGCGUAAAGCGCGCGCAGGCGGCCUCUUAAGUCUGAUGUGAAAGCCCCCGGCUCAACCGGGGAGGGCCAUUGGAAACUGGGAGGCUUGAGUAUAGGAGAGAAGAGUGGAAUUCCACGUGUAGCGGUGAAAUGCGUAGAGAUGUGGAGGAACACCAGUGGCGAAGGCGACUCUUUGGCCUAUAACUGACGCUGAGGCGCGAAAGCGUGGGGAGCAAACAGGAUUAGAUACCCUGGUAGUCCACGCCGUAAACGAUGAGUGCUAGGUGUUGGAGGGUUUCCGCCCUUCAGUGCUGAA